ensembl:snRNA U6 U6 spliceosomal RNA
GUGCUCACUUUGGCAGCAUAUAUACUAAAAUUGGAACAAUACAGAGAAGAUUAGCAUUGUCCCUGAGCAAGCAUGACACACAAAUUCAUGAAGCAUUUCAUAUUUUU